AUUUUGUAUUAUUCUGUAUAUAAAUCCGGGACUGUCACACUCUGACGAUUAUUUGCGUUGUUUGUUUCUAUGUUUGUUUGGUCAGGGUGUGAUAUGAGUGGGCAUUCUAUGUUGCAUGUCUAGUUUGUCUGUUUCUAUGUGUUUUGGCCUGAUAUGGUUCUCAAUCAGGGGCAGGUGUUUGUCGUUGUCUCUGAUUGGGAACCAUAUUUAGGUAGCCUGUUUUGUAUUGUGGUUCGUGGGUUAUUGUCUAUGUGAAGUUGCCUGUGUCUGCACUCGUUGGUCAUAGCGUCACGUUCGUUUUGUUUAACUGUUCUUUGUGUUCUUCCUUCAAUAAAAGAAGAAUGUAUUCUAAUCACGCUGCGCUUUGGUCUCCCCUUUACGACGAUCGUGACAGAGACACUCAAUUUAGUAUGAUAUGUUAUGUUUCGUAUGUGAGAGGCAUCUAUGCCAUGUGAAAGGAGGACCUGACCUUCUACAAACCCAGACCAGGUACUGCGGCACUGCUAUCAUCCACAGUACUGAUUCCAACAGGAAGCAGAGACUUGGACUGGACCAUGGCCACCAAGGGUGUGUUGACCUAUAUAACUCUGUAACUAAACACUAUAUAAAACAUCACUGCUCCAUCAUGAGCAAUUGUGGUAUAUCAAAACACAGAAUAAUAUAAAGUGUAUGUGUAAUGUGUGUGUGUGUGUGUGUGUGUGUGUGUGUGUUGUAGAAGUUAACAGAGCACAGGUGGUUAGAACCAUGAAGGUGCGUACUUCCCUCAAGGGAGACGACAGCUGGAUCCGUAGAGUGACAGACCCAGAUGAAGAAGAGGGAAAACCACGUAAGCCAGAACUUCCGGAGAAACCCACUGGUCUCUUUUCAGCUGAAUCCAGCCCUGUUACCUCUCUUGCUCCAUGCAACCCCUACAGUCCUACAGUGACACCAGAUGUUGACCCACUGACCCCUGAGGAAAUCACCAAAUGGUAAGAGGGCAAUUACCUUUGACUGUGCAUGCGAUGAAUCAGUAUUGGACAGUUAUUAAAGUGUAAUAACAUGUCAUAACUUAAUUACCUCUUUCUUCUCUUCUGUAGGUCAUUGACAUCUAUCAGGGUCAGACCCCUGGCAAAGUCCUAUGUCCUCUCAGCAGCUAAGAAAUUUGAGUGGGUGUUUGUGUUUUAGUGUAGUGUUUAAUUUUUAUUUGUAUGUAUAUUUAAACAAU
rnacentral:lncRNA from 1 species